GAUGAAGAACGUAGCGAAAUGCGAUAAGUAAUGCGAAUUGCAGAAUUUCCGUGAGUCAUCGAAUCUUUGAACGCACAUUGCGCCCGCUAGUAUUCUGGCGGGCAUGCCUGUCCGAGCGUCAUUUCAACCCUCAAGCCCCCGGGCUUGGUGUUGGGGAUCGGCGAGCCUCCGCGCCCGCCGUCCCCUAAAUCUAGUGGCGGUCUCGCUGUAGCUUCCUCUGCGUAGUAGCACACCUCGCACUGGGAAACAGCGCGGCCACGCCGUUAAACCCCCAACUUCUGAACGUUUGACUUCGGAUCAGGUAGGAAUACCCGCUGAACUUAAGCAUAUCAAUAAGCGGAGGA
rnacentral:misc_RNA from 1 species